CCUACGGGGGGCAGCAGUAGGGAAUCUUCCGCAAUGGACGAAAGUCUGACGGAGCAACGCCGCGUGAGCGAAGAAGGUCUUCGGAUCGUAAAGCUCUGUUGUUAGGGAAGAACAAGUACGGGAGGAAGUGACCGUACCUUGACGGUACCUAACGAGGAAGCCACGGCUAACUACGUGCCAGCAGCCGCGGUAAUACGUAGGUGGCAAGCGUUGUCCGGAAUUAUUGGGCGUAAAGCGCGCGCAGGCGGUCUUUUAAGUCUGAUGUGAAAUCUUGCGGCUCAACCGCAAGCGGUCAUUGGAAACGGGGAGAACUGAGGGGAGAAGAGGAAAGCGAAAACCCAGGUGUAGCGGUGAAAUGCGUAGAGAUGGGGAGGAACACCAGUGGCGAAGGAGGCUUUCUGGUGUGUAACUGACGCUGGGGGGCGAAAGCGUGGGGAGCAAACAGGAUUAGAUACCCGUUUAGUC
rnacentral:rRNA from 1 species